GCCGACAAGGGACGGACAAGGACGAUUGCACCGUCACUCGUAAUGAAGGGGUCCCCGGUUCGAGUCCGGGCGUCGGCU
rnacentral:tRNA from 1 species